GAUACCGUCAAGUGGGGAAUGCUGUAGCUGUUUCAGUUAGUCGCAGUCUAGGAUACACACUUGGUAUGGCUAUGCAGAAGUUGAGUGGUGAUAAACAUCUCAUGACUCUUCCCCCCAAAUUCUCCCAUUCCACAACUAUCGAGCUAAAGUCUUCUUCGGAUGUUUGAGUAGUCACUAUUCAUUGUUGUACAAUAAAAUUAGGGAGAGUUUGAGUUGAUUUUUACCAGACGAGUGAAUAAUGAACUGUAUCUGGAAAAUAGGACAUUGAAUAUCCAAUUUCUUAAAUUUAUUGUUGGUUUGCCAGAAUUUACCAUUUAUUCGCCUAGUUUUUGAAACCUAUAUUGGGCAUAAAUAUUAUGCAAAAACUUUAUGUUGUAAUGAGAACAAUAAUUGUGCUGACUCUAUUUUUUACCUUUCUAUUCAAGAUAUUUGAAGGUCGAUAAG
rnacentral:lncRNA from 1 species